AGUUUUGGGGUCCUGAGGAGACUUUGCGGGGGAUGUUGGCAUCCCGAGAGUGGUUUGGGGCAGUUUUGGCAUUCUGAGAAAACUUUAUUGUGGUUCUGGGGUCCUGAGAGUGGUUUGGGGCAGUUUUCUAAGUUUUGGGGUCCUGGGGAGACUUUGGGCUGGUUUUGGCAUCCAGAGAGUGCUUUGAGGCAGUUUCUGGAUCCUCAGGAGACUCUGGGGUGUUUUGGGGUUCCAA